UUCUGCAAUUUUCCAAUCUAU
rnacentral:piRNA from 1 species